CCCCCCCUCUCCUCAGAGAUUCUCCCAACCAAACCCUAAGCGCCGCCCUUAUUUCCCACCGCCACCGGUGGCGGCGCCACUACAAACCGACUCCAAACUAACAUUAGAGAACCCCCUCACUCCCCUCUUCCUAAAUCCUCACUCUGUUCCAUUCGAAUAUGCUUAGAACUCCUCAAAUAUUAAAUCUAGGGUUCGAACUCUAGAAGCCAAAGCCAAGUUCAUUCAUGCAAGGCUACUUCUCCAGUAUUCAUGAGUGUUAGGGUGCCGAUUUUACCACAAAAUAACAUUAGUCGCAUGUUCUUGACAAAGAACAGGCGAUUGAUAUUAUAUUGGGGCUUUAAUCGGAGAGGCAGUCAUGAGUGCGAGCCGAGUCGGUACACUUCUGUAUUCUACCCCCAUGUGAAGCUUGAAUUGAAGAGUGAAAUGAAAAAAAAACAGAGCUCAAAACAUUUUUCUAGUCUCUUUUUAUGAGUUCAAUUCUAUAUUUUUGGUUGUCUGGUAGUUUAUAGUUUAGUCCAUUGCUUUCUUAGUUAAUCUCUGCUUUGGCUGUUGAAACUUGUUCUUUUUCUUGUAUUAAUUUGGGACUAUUGAGAUGCUGUAGAUAAAAGAUGCAGUCAAGAGGCAUGUUGGUUUAAGUUUUCUUUGAUUUUUAGUUAGACAUUUCAAUGUUAUAUUGUUUGGUAGCAGUUCUCAUGAUAAAACUAGUUGCAAGGAGACUAAGGAUAAAAUGAUGAGGUGUAGUAUGCUAUUUGAAUAGGUAAUAUGAGGUGUUAUUUUGAUGUGAAUGACAUGUCCUGUGGUGAAUGACUAUAAACCCCUGUUGAGAAUA